UGGGACGUAGUGUAGUUGGUUAGCACAUGAGACUUUGACUCUCAUAGAUUCAGUUCGAACCUGAACGUCCCUUCCA
rnacentral:tRNA from 2 species